AGUCGAGCGGAGUGAUGGUGCUUGCACUAUCGCUUAGCGGCGGACGGGUGAGUAAUGCUUAGGAAUCUGCCUAUUAGUGGGGGACAACAUUUCGAAAGGAGUGCUAAUACCGCAUACGUCCUACGGGAGAAAGGAGGGGAUCUUCGGACCUUGCGCUAAUAGAUGAGCCUAAGUCGGAUUAGCUAGUUGGUGGGGUAAAGGCCUACCAAGGCGACGAUCUGUAGCGGGUCUGAGAGGAUGAUCCGCCACACUGGGACUGAUACACGGCCCAGACUCCUACGGGAGGCAGCAGUGGGGAAUAUUGGACAAUGGGCGCAAGCCUGAUCCAGCCAUGCCGCGUGUGUGAAGAAGGCCUUAUGGUUGUAGAGCACUUUAAGCGAGGAGGAGGCUACUGAAGUUAAUACCUUCAGAUAGUGGACGUUACUCGCAGAAUAAGCACCGGCUAACUCUGUGCCAGCAGCCGCGGUAAUACAGAGGGUGCAAGCGUUAAUCGGAUUUACUGGGCGUAGAGCGCGCGUACGCGGCUAAUUAAGUCACAUGUGAAAUCCCCGAGCUUAACUUGGGAAUUGCAUUCGAUACUGGUUAGCUAGAGUGUGGG
rnacentral:rRNA from 1 species